rnacentral:misc_RNA from 1 species
GAUGAAGGACGUAGCGAAAUGCGAUAAGUAAUGCGAAUUGCAGAAUUUCCGUGAGUCAUCGAAUCUUUGAACGCACAUUGCGCCCACUGGUAUUCCGGUGGGCAUGCCUGUUCGAGCGUCAUUAUCCUCCCUCAAACCCCGGGUUUGGUGUUGGACCCAAGUUGUGUGAACAACUGGUCUUAAAGACAAUGACGGCGUCCGUGGGACCCUCGGUGCAACGAGCUUUUAGGAGCACGCAUCGAGUUGCAAGGACCUUCCGGGCCGGUCUCCUUUACUAUUUUACAAGGUUGACCUCGGAUCAGGUAGGAAUACCCGCUGAACUUAAGCAUAUCAAUAAGCGGAGGA